rnacentral:rRNA from 1 species
AAUAGAUACCCCGGUAGUCCACGCCGUAAACGAUGAGUGCUAAGUGUUAGAGGGUUUCCGCCCUUUAGUGCUGCAGCUAACGCAUUAAGCACUCCGCCUGGGGAGUACGGCCGCAAGGCUGAAACUCAAAGGAAUUGACGGGGGCCCGCACAAGCGGUGGAGCAUGUGGUUUAAUUCGAAGCAACGCGAAGAACCUUACCAGGUCUUGACAUCCUCUGCCAACCCUAGAGAUAGGGCGUUCCCCUUCGGGGGACAGAGUGACAGGUGGUGCAUGGUUGUCGUCAGCUCGUGUCGUGAGAUGUUGGGUUAAGUCCCGCAACGAGCGCAACCCUUGAUCUUAGUUGCCAGCAUUCAGUUGGGCACUCUAAGGUGACUGCCGGUGACAAACCGGAGGAAGGUGGGGAUGACGUCAAAUCAUCAUGCCCCUUAUGACCUGGGCUACACACGUGCUACAAUGGAUGGUACAAAGAGCUGCGAACCCGCGAGGGUAAGCCAAUCUCAUAAAGCCAUUCUCAGUUCGGAUUGUAGG